UACGAAGGGGGCUAGCGUUGCUCGGAAUCACUGGGCGUAAAGGGUGCGUAGGCGGGUCUUUAAGUCAGGGGGGAAAUCCUGGAGCUCAACUCCAGAACUGCCUUUGAUACUGAAGGUCUUGAGUAUGGGAGAGGUGAGUGGAACUGCGAGUGUAGAGGUGAAAUUCGUAGAUAUUAGGAAGAACACCAGUGGCGAAGGCGGCUCACUGGCCCGGUACUGACGCUGAGGCGCGAAAGCGUGGGGAGCAAACAGG
rnacentral:rRNA from 1 species